rnacentral:tRNA from 3 species
GCCUCGGUAGCUCAGUUGGUAGAGCAAAGGACUGAAAAUCCUUGUGUCAGCGGUUCGAUUCCGCUCUGAGGCACCA